CCUACGGGAGGCAGCAGUGGGGAAUAUUGGACAAUGGGGGCAACCCUGAUCCAGCAAUGCCGCGUGUGUGAUGAAGGCCUUAGGGUUGUAAAGCACUUUCACUGGUGAAGAUGAUGACGGUAUCCAGAGAAGAAGCCCCGGCUAACUUCGUGCCAGCAGCCGCGGUAAUACGAAGGGGGCGAGCGUUGUUCGGAAUUACUGGGCGUAAAGGGAGCGCAGGCGGUUCAUUAAGUUAGGCGUGAAAGCCCCGGGCUCAACCUGGGAACUGCGCUUAAUACUGAUGAACUAGAAAACAGGAGAGGGUAGUGGAAUUUCCAGUGUAGAGGUGAAAUUCGAAGAUAUUGGAAAGAACACCGGUGGCGAAAGCGGCUACCUGGCCUGAUUUUGACGCUGAGGCUCGAAAGCGUGGGGAGCAAACAGGAUUAGAUACCCUGGUAGUCCACGCCGUAAACGAUGACAGCUAGAUGUCGGGGGGUUGCCCCUCGGUGUCGCCGCUAACGCAUUAAGCUGUCCGCCUGGGAAGUACGGUCGCAAGAUUAAAACUCAAAGGAAUUGACGGA
rnacentral:rRNA from 1 species